AACAUGUUUAGUUAACAACUGCAUUAGUUUGUAGUAUGAAGGAGGACGUUUCGAAAACAGCCGACAGAGUCUUCCCGGAAGGAAGGACGUGAUCAGUCUAAUAAGGCGCACCUGGAGCAGGUACUCGGAGCAGGUACUCGGAGCGCACUGGAGAGCAGCAUGCCGAAAACACUGCACCUUAAACGGACUGGAUUUAGGAGAAAACUUGUGGUGCAGAGGACUAUCUGAAAGAAACUGAAGAAGGCAGCCGGCAACUGCUGCCCUCCCACAACCGACGCAGACCCUCCUGCUUGACCUGCAACCAGGUGAUGAUGUCAUGAAGUAUUUCAGGAGGAAGUCCGGUAAAGGUGUGAAGACGUGAGGACUUGAAGAUCAGCCGGACCUACGUGGACUCGCUCCAUUGCACUUCAUGAGUCGUCUUCUCUGCACUGAAGCUCUGAGCUGUUUGGACUUCUUUGGCCCUGAACACCUGUCCUUACCUGUGAAGCCUCCUGACUGUCAGAGAUCUUGCUGCUGUCUGCUGGACCUACGUGGGCUCACCCUGUUGCACCUGGCUAGGAGUGGUGUGAAGACGUGAGGACUUGAAGAUCAGCCGGACCUACGUGGGCUCGCUCCAUUGCACUUCAUGAGUCGUCUUCUCUGCACUGAAGCUCUGAGCUGUUGGUACUUCUCUGGCCCUGAACACCUGUCCUUACCUGUGAAGCCUCCUGACUGUCAGAGAUCUUGCUGCUGUCUGCUGCUGCUGCUGGACCUACGUGGGCUCACCCUGUUGCACCUGGCUAGGAGUGGUGUGAAGACGUGAGGACUUGAAGAUCAGCCGGACCUACGUGGGCUCGCUCCAUUGCACCUCAUGAGUCGUCUUCUCUGCACUGAAGCUCUGAGCUGUUGGUACUUCUUUGGCCCUGAACACCUGUCCUUACCUGUGAAGCCUCCUGACUGUCUGAGAUCUUGCUGCUGUCUGCUGCUGCUGGACCUACGUGGGCUCACCCUGUUGCACCUGGCAAGGAGUGGUGUGAAGACGUGAGGACUUGAAGAUCAGCCGGACCUACGUGGGCUCGCUCCAUUGCACCUCAUGAGUCGUCUUCUCUGCACUGAAGCUCUGAGCUGUUGGUACUUCUUUGGCCCUGAACACCUGUCCUUACCUGUGAAGCCUCCUGACUGUCUGAGAUCUUGCUGCUGUCUGCUGCUGCUGGACCUACGUGGGCUCACCCUGUUGCACCUGGCAAGGAGUGGUGUGAAGACGUGAGGACUUGAAGAUCAGCCGGACCUACGUGGGCUCGCUCCAUUGCACCUCAUGAGUCGUCUUCUCUGCACUGAAGCUCUGAGUCAUACCAUCCUCUUCCUAGCUGUUGGUACUUCUCUGGCCCUGAACACCUGUCCUUACCUGUGAAGCCUCCUGACUGUCAGAGAUCUUGCUGCUGUCUGCUGCUGCUGCUGGACCUACGUGGGCUCACCCUGUUGCACCUGGCUAGGAGUGGUGUGAAGACGUGAGGACUUGAAGAUCAGCCGGACCUACGUGGGCUCGCUCCAUUGCACCUCAUGAGUCGUCUUCUCUGCACUGAAGCUCUGAGCUGCUGGUACUUCUCUGGCCCUGAACACCUGUCCUUACCUGUGAAGCCUCCUGACUGUCAGAGAUCUUGCUGCUGCUGUUGGACCUACGUGGGCUCACCCUGUUGCACCUGGCUAGGAGUGGUAUGCCAUGCCUGUGCUUCUCCUUUCCAACCUUGAUACUGACAACUCAGGGUUAUUCAUUCAUUGUAUUUAAAAUAUUUUUUUAUAUAUCUGUUAAUGUAGAUAAAUGUUUUUGUGAUUUUGAACUUAUUUUAAUUCAAUUUUUUACUUGUAUUAAAAAUAAAAGUGUGGCUUUUUUGAGUCAUACCACUGUCAUCCUA